rnacentral:rRNA from 1 species
UACGUAGGGGGCAAGCGUUGUCCGGAUUUAUUGGGCGUAAAGAGCGUGUAGGCGGCUUUACAGGUCCGUUGUGAAAACUCGAGGCUCAACCUCGAGACGCCGGUGGAAACCGUAAAGCUAGAGUCCGGAAGAGGAGAGUGGAAUUCCUGGUGUAGCGGUGAAAUGCGCAGAUAUCAGGAGGAACACCCGUGGCGAAAGCGGCUCUCUGGGACGGUACUGACGCUGAGACGCGAAGGCCAGGGGAGCAAAACGGG